rnacentral:rRNA from 1 species
AACGAACGCUGGCGGCAGGCCUAACACAUGCAAGUCGAGCGAGGACUUCGGUCCUAGCGGCGGACGGGUGAGUAACGCGUGGGAACGUGCCCUUUGCUACGGAAUAGCCCUGGGAAACUGGGAGUAAUACCGUAUGUGCCCGAGAGGGGAAAGAUUUAUCGGCAAAGGAUCGGCCCGCGUUGGAUUAGGUAGUUGGUGGGGUAAUGGCCUACCAAGCCGACAAUCCAUAGCUGGUUUGAGAGGAUGAUCAGCCACACUGGGACUGAGACACGGCCCAGACUCCUACGGGAGGCAGCAGUGGGGAAUCUUAGACAAUGGGCGCAAGCCUGAUCUAGCCAUGCCGCGUGAGCGAUGAAGGCCUUAGGGUUGUAAAGCUCUUUCAGUGGGGAAGAUAAUGACGGUACCCACAGAAGAAGCCCCGGCUAACUCCGUGCCAGCAGCCGCGGUAACAC